GGUUAAGCGACUAAGCGUACACGGUGGAUGCCCUGGCAGUCAGAGGCGAUGAAGGGCGUGCUAAUCUGCGAUAAGCGCCGGUAAGGUGAUAUGAACCGUUAUAACCGGCGAUACCCGAAUGGGGAAACCCAGUGUGAUUCGUCACACUAUCAUUAACUGAAUCCAUAGGUUAAUGAGGCGAACCGGGGGAACUGAAACAUCUAAGUACCCCGAGGAAAAGAAAUCAACCGAGAUUCCCCCAGUAGCGGCGAGCGAACGGGGAGGAGCCCAGAGCCUGAAUCAGCAUGUGUGUUAGUGGAAGCGUCUGGAAAGGCGCGCGAUACAGGGUGACAGCCCCGUACACAAAAGCGCAUGUGCUGUGAGCUCGAUGAGUAGGGCGGGACACGUGGUAUCCUGUCUGAAUAUGGGGGGACCAUCCUCCAAGGCUAAAUACUCCUGACUGACCGAUAGUGAACCAGUACCGUGAGGGAAAGGCGAAAAGAACCCCGGCGAGGGGAGUGAAAAAGAACCUGAAACCGUGUACGUACAAGCAGUGGGAGCCCCACCACUAAGCCAGUGGUGAACUCCACAUACGCAUCCUUUGCUGAGGAUACGGUUAACGGAGCGAAAGCGACGUUCAACCGCAAAAGAAGCAGAGGGGGCUUAGUGGUGGGGUGACUGCGUACCUUUUGUAUAAUGGGUCAGCGACUUAUAUUCUGUAGCAAGGUUAACCGUAUAGGGGAGCCGGAGGGAAACCGAGUCUUAAUUGGGCGUUAAGUUGCAGGGUAUAGACCCGAAACCCGGUGAUCUAGCCAUGGGCAGGUUGAAGGUUGGGUAACACUAACUGGAGGACCGAACCGACUAAUGUUGAAAAAUUAGCGGAUGACCUGUGGCUGGGGGUGAAAGGCCAAUCAAACCGGGAGAUAGCUGGUUCUCCCCGAAAGCUAUUUAGGUAGCGCCUCGUGAACUCAUCUCCGGGGGUAGAGCACUGUUUCGGCUAGGGGGCCAUCCCGGCUUACCAACCCGAUGCAAACUGCGAAUACCGGAGAAUGUUAUCACGGGAGACACACGGCGGGUGCUAACGUCCGUCGUGAAGAGGGAAACAACCCAGACCGCCAGCUAAGGUCCCAAAGUCAUGGUUAAGUGGGAAACGAUGUGGGAAGGCCCAGACAGCCAGGAUGUUGGCUUAGAAGCAGCCAUCAUUUAAAGAAAGCGUAAUAGCUCACUGGUCGAGUCGGCCUGCGCGGAAGAUGUAACGGGGCUAAACCAUGCACCGAAGCUGCGGCAGCGACACUGUGUGUUGUUGGGUAGGGGAGCGUUCUGUAAGCCUGUGAAGGUGUGUCGUGAGGCAUGCUGGAGGUAUCAGAAGUGCGAAUGCUGACAUAAGUAACGAUAAAGCGGGUGAAAAGCCCGCUCGCCGGAAGACCAAGGGUUCCUGUCCAACGUUAAUCGGGGCAGGGUGAGUCGACCCCUAAGGCGAGGCCGAAAGGCGUAGUCGAUGGGAAACGGGUUAAUAUUCCCGUACUUGGUGUUACUGCGAAGGGGGGACGGAGAAGGCUAUGUUGGCCGGGCGACGGUUGUCCCGGUUUAAGCGUGUAGGCUGGUUUUCCAGGCAAAUCCGGAAAAUCAAGGCUGAGGCGUGAUGACGAGGCACUACGGUGCUGAAGCAACAAAUGCCCUGCUUCCAGGAAAAGCCUCUAAGCAUCAGGUAACAUCAAAUCGUACCCCAAACCGACACAGGUGGUCAGGUAGAGAAUACCAAGGCGCUUGAGAGAACUCGGGUGAAGGAACUAGGCAAAAUGGUGCCGUAACUUCGGGAGAAGGCACGCUGACACGUAGGUGAAGUGAUUUACUCACGGAGCUGAAGUCAGUCGAAGAUACCAGCUGGCUGCAACUGUUUAUUAAAAACACAGCACUGUGCAAACACGAAAGUGGACGUAUACGGUGUGACGCCUGCCCGGUGCCGGAAGGUUAAUUGAUGGGGUCAGCGCAAGCGAAGCUCCUGAUCGAAGCCCCGGUAAACGGCGGCCGUAACUAUAACGGUCCUAAGGUAGCGAAAUUCCUUGUCGGGUAAGUUCCGACCUGCACGAAUGGCGUAAUGAUGGCCAGGCUGUCUCCACCCGAGACUCAGUGAAAUUGAACUCGCUGUGAAGAUGCAGUGUACCCGCGGCAAGACGGAAAGACCCCGUGAACCUUUACUAUAGCUUGACACUGAACAUUGAGCCUUGAUGUGUAGGAUAGGUGGGAGGCUUUGAAGUGUGGACGCCAGUCUGCAUGGAGCCGACCUUGAAAUACCACCCUUUAAUGUUUGAUGUUCUAACGUGGACCCGUUACCCGGGUUGCGGACAGUGUCUGGUGGGUAGUUUGACUGGGGCGGUCUCCUCCUAAAGAGUAACGGAGGAGCACGAAGGUUGGCUAAUCCUGGUCGGACAUCAGGAGGUUAGUGCAAUGGCAUAAGCCAGCUUGACUGCGAGCGUGACGGCGCGAGCAGGUGCGAAAGCAGGUCAUAGUGAUCCGGUGGUUCUGAAUGGAAGGGCCAUCGCUCAACGGAUAAAAGGUACUCCGGGGAUAACAGGCUGAUACCGCCCAAGAGUUCAUAUCGACGGCGGUGUUUGGCACCUCGAUGUCGGCUCAUCACAUCCUGGGGCUGAAGUAGGUCCCAAGGGUAUGGCUGUUCGCCAUUUAAAGUGGUACGCGAGCUGGGUUUAGAACGUCGUGAGACAGUUCGGUCCCUAUCUGCCGUGGGCGCUGGAGAACUGAGGGGGGCUGCUCCUAGUACGAGAGGACCGGAGUGGACGCAUCACUGGUGUUCGGGUUGUCAUGCCAAUGGCACUGCCCGGUAGCUAAAUGCGGAAGAGAUAAGUGCUGAAAGCAUCUAAGCACGAAACUUGCCCCGAGAUGAGUUCUCCCUGAGACUUAGAGUCUCCUGAAGGAACGUUGAAGACGACGACGUUGAUAGGCCGGGUGUGUAAGCGCAGCGAUGCGUUGAGCUAACCGGUACUAAUGAACCGUGAGGCUUAACCUU
rnacentral:rRNA from 1 species